AGAAGAGGACUGACUCAACUCUGCGACCAGGCUUGGAACCCACAGGCCUAAAUUUCUGUGUUAUUUUAGCUCUGUAUUCCGUGACCCGAGAUUCUGGAAGGCCCAUGAGCUUCCUCCCUGGCCUCCCACGACUACAUCCUGAAGAUUGUGCCCACGGUUUAUGAGGACAAGAGUGGCAAGCAGCGGUACUCCUACCAGUACACGGUGGCCAACAAGGUGCGCGGGCGGUGGCUGGGCCGAGCUGUGUGCGGCGGCGCCCUCUGCUGACGGAGAGCAGAGAUGACAGGCGGCUGCACCGACGCACUUUCUUCUGGUUCCUUUCUGGAGGCCUUUCCUGGGGGUUAGCUUGGGCCAGGCGCUGUCCCUGGGUAAAAUUGAAAGGCCCAGUCCCUGCCCAUGUGGCAGUCUCAGAGUCAAGGAGAACAGAUCUAACCAGGAGAUAGGGUGUGAUGCGUUUGACAAAGAGCAGGUAGUCUCCGUCCUACAAAGGUCCUGGGGUUGCAGGUCUCAAACAGCCCUGCAUUUGGUCCGAGUCCUUUAGACACAGACCCCUGGGUGCUCAACACAGACAGACACUCCUGCUCUCAGGGCACAGGCACUUUACCCAAACUCAUGAGGCUACUGAGUCACACCAAGAUGGCUGUUGAUUAAUUUGCUGUUGAUUGACAGGGGUGUCCCCAGGACCCCAACACUCAAAGUCAUGGAGAAGACGCCAGGCCUUAGUGGGCAGCAGAGCAUGGUCAGAGUCUGCAGAGUGGGAUGACACAGCAAUUAGUGGUCUCAAGACAAGACAGCCUUGGGCUUCCCCGGGGGUAUCCCACCAAUGGGACAUGAAUACUUGAAACCUGUUGGUUGAAAUGCCCCUGCUAGACCCUGGUGGAUGGGUUUUUCCCACUUACCACCAGGACUGUCCUUUUUCUUCUGUUCCAAGGCUGCCCAAACCCCUUAUAAGUGAUACCUGUUUAGCUCAGUUAAUUAUAACAAUAGUAGGAGGCAUAGCUGUCACUCAUUGAGUACUUCCUGGGGGCUAGACAUGCUAAGCUCUCUUCUUCCGUCUUCUCGAUCAUCUGACAGCUCUGAUAUUGAGACUGUUAUUGAGCCCAUUUUGUUGAUUUGGCCAUUGAGGCACUGAGAGGUGGUUGUAGAGCUAUAAAGUGGCUGAGUGGGGAUUAGAACAGGUUUUCCUUGGGCUCCAGAGCCUGGCUUCUUGAUCACCUCACGCCUCAGUCUGAGGAAGGGGCUGUGAGUCUGCCCACCUGCGAGCUGCUCUCUGUCCAAUGACAUAGUCCCUCUGUUCUGACUCACCCUAAAUUGAUGUUCCCGGGAGCCCUGUUUCUUUUAUUCACUGUUUCACAGGGGGCAUCUCAUUGUAACCCUCACAUGCUCAUAGCAGCUAACAGAUGGAAAAGCACAGAUGCAAGCUCAGGACCACGCUGCAGUUCAAAUUCCAGCUCAGUCAUUCACUAGCUAUUGACCCCGGACAUGUCACAUAGCCACUGUGUGCCUCAGUUUACUCAUUCAUAAAAUGGAGAUGAUACUUUAUAAGAGUGCUGUCACAUGAGGCAAUGUUUUCAAAAAUGCCUAGCCCACCAAAAAAAAAAAAAGCCUUUAGGUAAGUGAUACUGACUGCUGCUAUUUUUCACUCUUUUUCUCUGUCCCUCAGCUCUGGGUUGUGACCCAGACAGUCACCCUGCCCCAGCAGCUCUCCUGGAGAAAGCUGGUCUUCCCUUGCGCAAAGCUCCUUUUCCCAAUGCUUUGGCAAGGCCCAGCAGCCAAAUACAGCUUGCUUAGCUUCUCUGUGGCUGCAGCCACACUCUGCCCUGGGAGCAGGCAGCAGCGACCCAGCGGGAGGUCAGGGCUCAGUGUUACUUACCCCCGGAGCGGCCUGGGCUCCUCAGGCUCAGCAUGUGGGGUUGGGGGUACCCCAGUGGUUCGAUUUGGCCUCCAGUUGUUGCAGACUUUAGCACCUUGAAGUGCCCAAACUGGAGAGAUCCCAGGGGUCAUCAUCCCAGGCCCAUCCGUGUUUAGAUGGGGAAGCCAAGUCCCUGAGGGAGGGAGGGGCUGGCCCAAGGAUGCACUGUUAGCUCAGCCUUUUAGUAUCCUUAGUCCCUGCUGUGUGCAUUCUCAGGAAGGUUGGUGGCAGGGCGGGGCCUUCUGGCUUUGCAGUUCAGUCUAUUCCUCUGAAGAAGCUAGCCCACUCCCCACACGGCAUUUACACCCAUCACACACACACACACUGGGACUCCUGCUUAUUCAUCAUGUGUGGCUCAGAAUGUCCCCUCCCCAGUCUCCCAGAUGCCGCCCGGGAGAAUGGGUCAUUCAUUCAUUCCCCUCAGCUCUCCAUGUCCCUCCAUCCCACAUGCGUGAUGUCGCAGUGUUAGGGAUAUUCUUAUGUCUUCCUCCUUCUGCAGACUGUGACUCCCUCUGGGGAAAGGGCAGGACUUGCUCACCUCGGGGUCCCCAGCAGCCAGCCAUGGGCCACCACAGUGGAGGCGUUCAGCAAACCAUUGUUGAAUAAAUGAAUGGAUUUCGCGUGGCCCAGAGGUUGAAGGAGGCAAUAGCCAAAAAUUGCACUUUUCCUUUUACAGCUCUGCUUUCUAAUGUAUUUUCUGAUUCUGGUCCUGCUUGCAGCUCACAUGGUCAAUUUCUAAACAACCAAGGGGGUCAAAAAUGCCCAGCUGUGCACGGCAGAGUUUAGGGCCUCCAGGGGAAGGGAUGUGAGAGAGGGAGUGGGGGAGUCUGGCUUCGUGGGGCAGAGAGGGAGGAAAGUCCUUUCUGGAGGGUUGCUGGGGGGCCCUCUGCAAUCCAGUCCCCGCCCACCCUGAGACACAGUUUGUACUUCUGAUUCUUAUAUCCUCUACCCUAGGAAUACGUCGCCUACAGCCACACGGGCCGCAUCAUCCCUGCAAUCUGGUUCCGCUACGACCUCAGCCCCAUCACGGUCAAGUACACAGAGAGACGGCAGCCGCUGUACAGAUUCAUCACCACGGUGAGUGGCCUGGGGCAGUGGGUGGGGCCCUGAGCCAGCCACCCCGCGCCUGCUCUGGGCCCCUUUCCUUGGCACCCCUCACCUGUUCUCGCUGAAACAGGAGGCAGCCUGCAGGGCUAGGGGCUCUGGCUGGGCACAGGAGGCUUCGACCCCAAGGAUGCUGAGAAAUGUUGUCAGAAACACAUCAGUAUCAAUGACGUUUUGUCUAGAAAGUAUUUUCCGGAGGGGAAUGCCCUGAAAUCCAUUUAAUUCCUGAAGCAGAUCUCCAUAUGGUUCCACUAGAUGUUUAGGAUUUCUCCAGCUUUUUAUUGUUACGGAAAUUAUUCUUAGCAGAGCUUAUCCUUUAAUGUGUAAAUUUUGCACCAAAGAUUUAACUCACUUUUUUCCAGGUCUAAUUUCCAGUUACAGCUGCUGAUAGGGUCCGAUUUUUCCCUUUCCUUCCUCUCUGUUCUCUUUUUUGCCGUGGUCUCUACCACAUCCAGUUUUCUCUAGGGCAGCUUCAAGCUGAUGUUAGUUUUCCUUUAUGCUGAUUAUUUCUAUCACGUCUACUGUUUCCUGGCCUCCCAUUCAGAAGGUCCUUGGGGUCAGAACAGGAGGGUCAGGGUGCCCUUCUUCACCCAAGAGGCCCAGGAGGUAGUGAAGAAGCCAGAGUUAGCUGAGGUGGAAGAGACAGGGUGGCUAUCCCUACUUCACAGAUUUGGAAACUGAGACCUAAAGAUAAAUAUGGCAUUGGGAGGCCCUUAUGCUUCUGUACUUCUUCAUGCUUGUAAUGAUGGUUCAAGAUCAAGGGCCUUGGCUCUUUCAUUUCCCGCAAUAACUAGGUCAGUAUUAGUCAGGACUCUGUUACCGAAGAUCCAGAACCAGACCUUGAGCUGGCCUGAGGAGUAGAAGGCUUCAGGCAUGGCUGGAUCCAGCCUUGAACAUUGCCAGGAGUAGGUCUCUAUCUUCGGAUCUGCUUUCCGCUAUACUGGCUUCAUCUUCAAGUAGAAUUUACCAGUAGAAAUGGCCUCUUUCUCAGUCAUUCUAACCAAGUCCUAGAUAGGACAGAGCUCUCACUGGCCCAGCUCAUGCCUCAUGCCAUCCUUGUGGCCUGGGAAAUCAAAUGCUCUGGUUGGCCAGGCUUAGGCCCUGUACCCUCUCUGGUGUCAACCCCAUCCAAACCGCAGGGACACAGAUUGUGAGGAAUGAGGUUUCUCAAGAGAAAAGGCAGGGGCCAGCUACUGGAAGAGGAAAGAGUGGGUGCCAGGAGGCAGAACAGUGGGAUGUUGUGACAGGGUCUCUGCCUUCUCAUCUGUGAAGUAAGAACGAUCAUCUCUGUUCCUGCCACCUCCCAGGGCCUUGUGGGACUCAGAGGAGAUCGUGAAAGGAGAAGCUGUUUGCAGAUGUGAAAAGCCAAGUUCACUAGAAAUUGGAGGGAUGGGAUUUAAAACAAGACUCAAUUCAGGCCAGACAUGGUAGCUCACACCUGUAAUCCCAGCACUCUGGGAGGUGGAAGCAGGAGGAUGACUUGAGGCCAGGAGUUUGAAACCAGCCUGGUCACCGCAGCAAGACCCCCUCCCUACAAAAGAAAAGUUAAAAAAUUAGCUAGACAUAGUGGCGCAUGCCUGUAGUUUCAGCUAGUUGGGAGGCUGAGGUGGGAGGAUUGCUUGAGCGUGGGAGGUUGACACUGCAGUGAGCCAUGAUGGUACCACUGCACUCCAGCCUGGGCAACAGAGUGAGACCCGGUCUCAGAAAAAUAAAAAAAAUUAAAAGACCCAAUUGAAUCCUAUUGGACUGACAGAAAUUGAAAACUUGCCCGGCUCACACCUGUAAUUCCAGCACUUUGGGAGGCCGAGGCGGGCAGAUCACCUGAGUUCAGGAGUUCAAGACCAGCCUAGCCAACAUGGCAAAACACUACUAAAAAUACAAAAAUUAGCGGAGCAUGGUGGUGGGCGCCUGUAAUCCCAGCUACUUGGGAGGCUGAGGUGGGAGAAUUACUUGAACCUGGGAGGGAGAGGUUGCGGUGAGCCAGGAUCACUCCAGUGCACUCCAGCCUGGGCAACAGAGUGAGACUCCGUCUCAAAAGAAAGAAAGA
rnacentral:sRNA from 1 species